ensembl:snRNA U6 U6 spliceosomal RNA
GUGCUUGCUUUGGCAGCACAUAUGCUAACACUGGAAUGAUACAGAGAGGAUUACCAUGGCCACUGUGCAAGGAUGACACGCAAAUUCGUAAAGUGUUUCUUAUCAGU